CGACGCUUCGGCUUGGCGAUUUCGGUCUUGGUCGCUUCCCGUGUGGCCGCAUGCGGCGGCCGGCUAACGUGCGAGGCGAUGCGCGCCGA
rnacentral:tRNA from 1 species